rnacentral:rRNA from 1 species
AGAGUUUGAUCCUGGCUCAGGAUGAACGCUGGCGGCGUGCCUAACACAUGCAAGUCGAGCGAUUUACUUCGGUAAAGAGCGGCGGACGGGUGAGUAACGCGUGGGUAACCUGCCCUGUACACACGGAUAACAUACCGAAAGGUAUGCUAAUACGAGAUAAUAUACUUUUAUCUCAUGGUAGAAGUAUCAAAGCUCUGGCGGUACAGGAUGGACCCGCGUCUGAUUAGCUAGUUGGUAAGGUAACGGCUUACCAAGGCGACGAUCAGUAGCCGACCUGAGAGGGUGAUCGGCCACAUUGGAACUGAGACACGGUCCAAACUCCUACGGGAGGCAGCAGUGGGGAAUAUUGCACAAUGGGCGAAAGCCUGAUGCAGCAACGCCGCGUGAGCGAUGAAGGCCUUCGGGUCGUAAAGCUCUGUCCUCAAGGAAGAUAAUGACGGUACUUGAGGAGGAAGCCCCGGCUAACUACGUG